CCUCAAACCUCCUUCCCAAACAAUGAACCCACCGAUGUGGGACUUGGGAUUAAGCCAAAAUCAACAAAUCUCCACCUUGGCUUAAUUUCAAGUCCCACCUAAAACAAAUCUUCUCAAAACAUAACAAAAACAAACUUUACAGUGCUUCAAAUUUGCGCCUCCGGGCGCCAACUUCAAAUGUGCAAAAUAUUAACCAAGUCUAAACAAUGUUCAAACUUGGCCCUUGUAACCACCUUGCCUUGUAGCGAAC
rnacentral:lncRNA from 1 species